ACAAUUUGAAGAUCCAAAAUGAUUGGAACCACGAAAUCCUUAGAAAAGUACAACCUCCAGAGGCCUGAGAACUGUUCGCCAGGGUGCAGCCCGUGGAAUCUCGGGAACUUUCUGGCCACUUGAAGAUUUGAAGCGAGAGAGUUUAGGACCAGGAAACCUUCCAACAAGAGUUUUCUCCAGAGGGGAUCUCAGUCCUGAGGCCUGUUUGACAGCCUGCAUACAGUGGGGUCCAGGAAUCAUUCUGGCCACUUGAAGAUUCGAAGAAAGAGAGAGUUUGGGCCCAGGAAACCUUCAAACAAGUGCUUUCUCCAGAGAGGGACCCAGUCAUGAGGCCUGUUUCACAGGCUGCACGCUGUGGGGUUCAGCCCGAUCGUAUUGUGUGUGUGGCAGAGUGUACCGGGAGGCACAUAAGUAGCUUCACAGCCGUUGGAAGUGCACGAUCCCAGAAGUAAUGUGCGAACAUUUGCAACAUUAUGAUAACAUCGUCCACAUUCGGUGAUUUCAACACCCCACCCCGCCCAUGUAUUUUACUUCAAUCAACGGAGACUGAAUCUUGCAUAAGGUUUGGUGGGCACGGUUUUACUGUCAUGUUUUACAUUACAAUAGCCAGACCCUCGAUAGAGAGAAACGGAGAGGGGCCAGAGUGGAUGCAGGUAACAGUUACGUUUAACCACUUCUCCCUGUUCAAUCUUUGUCUCCGGAACGCCCGAGAUUUAGUGAGUUGUUCAAUGAUUCGUCAUUUUCUUGAUGUACUUUCUCAGCCACUAAAAGGGUAACUUUCUCAGUGCAAUUUCGAUCUUAAAACUUGCAACGGUUGCAUGGUUAGCCCUUUCAACUAUUUCAAUUGUACCUUUAACAACGUUAAUAACUUGUCAAGCCAUGACCUUCCUUCUCAAAAUUGAGGUAAACACGUUUCUCUAAUAUCGAUAUCGUCAGAAUUAAAAUUUUACCAGUCGGGCAAUAGAAACUUAGGAAUCGCAUCAGAUAUUGCCAAGACUUUAGUAAUAUAUAGUGAUAUA